AUCCAGCUCACGAGUCCCAAAUAGUAUGAAACGCGCGUCCUGGAU
rnacentral:hammerhead_ribozyme from 1 species